rnacentral:rRNA from 1 species
UACGGAGGGUGCGAGCGUUGUCCGGAAUCACUGGGCGUAAAGGGCGCGUAGGCGGCUUGGGAAGUCUGUGGUGAAAGCUCGUGGCUCAACUGCGAGUCGGCCAUAGAUACUCCUAAGCUCGAGUCGACUAGAGGCAGAUGGAAUUCCGGGUGUAGCGGUGGAAUGCGUAGAGAUCCGGAAGAACACCGGUGGCGAAGGCGGCCUGCUGGGCAGUUGCUGACACUGAGGCGCGACAGCGUGGGGAGCAAACAGG